GGGAAUGUGGCUUGGUGGUAGAGUGCUUGCCUUGCAUGCAUGAAGUCCUGGGUUUGAUUCCUCAGUACCA
rnacentral:tRNA from 1 species